UUGUGAACUUGAUCACUAGCUCUAUGUGAUGUUGCAGAAGAGAGGAGAACAGGUUUACCAAAAUAAACUUGGUCAUAGAGCUGUAUAAGCCUUAGAAAUCCAAUUACUUGGUUGUUAAUUCUAUGCCAUCAUAAGG
ensembl:snoRNA SNORA66 Small nucleolar RNA SNORA66